rnacentral:lncRNA from 1 species
AGAGCAGCAGCAGGUCAAGGGAGGAAAAGAAGGGCAGAUAUUCCAGAUCCAGGCUCAGAGUCAAACUGACACAACGGCUGGAAGGCAGGAAAUGUGGAAGGCCAAAAACAAGCAGGCGACUACGAAGAUAAAGGGGUCUGGGUGUAGGCGAAACUUCAGUGCAUGGUGACAGUUUUUACAGUGGGUAACAUUAGAUCAGAGGUUGGAGAAAUCAAACUGACACAGCAACUUACGAGGAAGAGGGACGUGUACACACAAGGGAUGGUGAGGUACACACAGGGGAUGAUGAUGAGGUACACAGAACUUUUGGAAACAUACGUAUGACCAGCAGUUAAUGAGAUCUUUUCACUGCACAGGCUUCCGCACUGUUUCAAUGUUAAGAAAUUGAGGUGAUGUACCACUUUUUUCAAUUAAAAACCAUCUUUUUCAGCUUCAGAGAUAUAACUGACAAAAAUAUAAGAUAUUUAAAAAGUAGAAUUUGAUACACAUAGACACAAUGAAAAGAUAACCACUAUCCGCUCAUUAACACAUCUGUCACCCCACAUAUUUACACCCCUCUUGGGGGUGGGGAGAAAUUUAAAUCCUACUUUCCAGAAAACCUCAUACAAUACUGUUGCCAACUACAGUCAGCACCCUCCGAUCUCUCCUCUUGUAACUGGAAGCUUAGACCCUUCGGCCAGCCUCUCUCCAUGUCCCCCACUUCCAGCAGCCAGUCUUCGUCUUCUGCUCUGUCUCUAGGAGUUCCAUUCAAACCCACACAUCAGUGAGAUGACGCAGCAUUUCUCCUUCUGUGUCUGGCUUAUUUCACUCAGCAUAAUGCCCUCUGGGUUCACCCAUGUUGCUGCAAAUGGCAGGAUUUCCUUCUCUUUAAUGGCUGAAUAAUAUUUACCUGAAUGCACAUACCAGACCACACCUUCCCGAUCAGCUUCAGCGACAGGCCCUCAGGUUGUUUCCAUAAGGCUGCAAUGAAUGCAGAACAGGCGUCUCCUCAAGACGAUGACUUCCUCUGGACUGUAAGGUAAUUGUGUUUUGAAUUUCUUGAGGAACCACCAUACUCUUUUCCAUAGUGUCCGUACUAGCUUACGUUCCCACCAACAGUGCACAGGGAUUCUCUUUUCCCCAUAUUCUCACCAGGGAUAGCACUAGCUAUCAUUUGUCUUUUUGCUAACAGCCAUUCCGACAGGUGUGAGAUGACACCUAACUGUGAUUUUGAUUUGCACUUCCCUGAUGAUUAGUGAUGCUGAGUACCUUUCCAUAUACCAGGAAAAUGGUAGAGGAGUUAACACCUGGGAGUGAUCAUGACCUUCUCCCCCUGCCUGUGGGCACCCUUCCAUCAUCCAUCCUUCCAGGCUCUCAUAGGAUUCUUACUGCGUAAAGGGACCCUGCCUUUCCUUUCUUUCUUUCUUUCAAGAUUAAUUUCAAAAAUAAUAAAAUCGUUUAAAAUAUAUUACAAUUACUAACAAGUUACAGCUAAGAAGAAUUUUAACAGGGAAAUCACCUGUGGAAUACUACCAGGUGGUGUGGAACUAACCUAAAAGCACACCACUCUAACCUGAUGUACAGCUAUCGACCCACUUUCUUGUGUUUAUGUAUUGCAAAUAUAAGGAUGUCUAGAAUGCUUGGGUCAAAGGUUUCGUUUUUUAAGAAAACAAGCUCAAAAAGAGGAGCUUAGAGAUGCAGACAAAGGAAUAUGUCAAAGCAAGACUGGGUCACAAUUAAAUGGGCCCAAAUAAAGAAUAGAGAAAAGGGUCUUUAAAGUAAGAAAAGGGUUUUGUCCCAAGUUAAAAAAUAAAAAUCCACCUGAACAAAACACCAGCAAAUUCUCCCAAUUAUUACUUAUUCCAUCAUUAAGCCAAAAUUUGAAUGGUUCUAUGGAAUUGUUAGGGGAAGCACACUGAUUGAAACCACCCACCCUGGCCAGGCACC